UGCAGAAGGUCUUGAUGGUAAGGUAUGUCUUUUUGCUGAUGAUACUAAGAUAUGUAACAGGGUUGAUGUUCCAGGAGGGAUAAGCCAAAUGACAAAUGAUUUAGGUAAACUAGAAAAAUGGUCAGAAUUGUGGCAACUGACAUUUAAUGUGGAUAAGUGCAAGAUAAUGCAUCUUGGACGUAAAAACCCAAGGGCAGAGUACAGAAUAUUUGAUAGAGUUCUAACCUCAACAUAUGAGGAAAGAGAUUUAGGGGUGAUUAUUUCUGAUGACUUAAAGGUAGGCAGACAAUGUAAUAGAGCAG